UACGGAGGGUGCAAGCGUUGUCCGGAUUUAUUGGGUUUAAAGGGUGCGUAGGCGGCCCGUUAAGUCAGUGGUGAAAGCCUCCAGCUCAACUGGAGAACUGCCAUUGAUACUGACGGGCUUGAGUACAGACGAGGUUGGCGGAAUUGAUUGUGUAGCGGUGAAAUGCAUAGAUACAACCAAGAACUCCGAUUGCGUAGGCAGCUAACUAGGCUGUAACUGACGCUGAGGCACGAAAGCGUGGGGAGCGAACAGG
rnacentral:rRNA from 1 species